rnacentral:pre_miRNA from 1 species
AGUAGAAUUGCUGGGUGAGAUGGUAACUCUAGGCUUAACUCUUUGUGGAACUGCCAAACUGUUUUCCAGAGUGGCUGCACCAUUUUACAUUCCCACCAGCAAG